AUUGAACGCUGGCGGCAUGCUUUACACAUGCAAGUCGAACGGCAGCGCGGGCUUCGGCCUGGCGGCGAGUGGCGAACGGGUGAGUAAUGCAUCGGAACGUGCCCAGUAGUGGGGGAUAGCCCGGCGAAAGCCGGAUUAAUACCGCAUACGACCUGAGGGUGAAAGCGGGGGACCGAAAGGCCUCGCGCUAUUGGAGCGGCCGAUGUCGGAUUAGCUAGUUGGUGGGGUAAAGGCUUACCAAGGCGACGAUCCGUAGCUGGUCUGAGAGGACGACCAGCCACACGGGGACUGAGACACGGCCCAGACUCCUACGGGAGGCAGCAGUGGGGAAUUUUGGACAAGGGGGGCAACCCUGAUCCAGCCAUGCCGCGUGCGGGAAGAAGGCCUUCGGGUUGUAAACCGCUUUUGUUCGGGAAGAAAUCCUCUGGGCUAAUACCCCGGGGGGAUGACGGUACCGGAAGAAUAAGCACCGGCUAACUACGU
rnacentral:rRNA from 1 species